rnacentral:rRNA from 1 species
UACGUAGGUGACCAGCGUUGUCCGGAUUUACUGGGCGUAAAGAGCUCGUAGGCGGUCUGUCGCGUCGAAUGUGAAAACCCGGGGCUCAACCCCGGGCCUGCAUUCGAUACGGGCAGACUAGAGUUCGGUAGGGGAGUCUGGAAUUCCUGGUGUAGCGGUGAAAUGCGCAGAUAUCAGGAGGAACACCGGUGGCGAAGGCGGGACUCUGGGCCGAUACUGACGCUGAGGAGCGAAAGCGUGGGGAGCAAACAGG